rnacentral:rRNA from 1 species
CAUGCAAGUCGAGGGGCAGCAUUUUAGUUUGCUUGCAAACUAAAGAUGGCGACCGGCGCACGGGUGAGUAACACGUAUCCAACCUGCCGAUAACUCGGGGAUAGCCUUUCGAAAGAAAGAUUAAUAUCCGAUAGUAUAUUAAAACCGCAUGGUUUUACUAUUAAAGAAUUUCGGUUAUCGAUGGGGAUGCGUUCCAUUAGUUUGUUGGCGGGGUAACGGCCCACCAAGACUACGAUGGAUAGGGGUUCUGAGAGGAAGGUCCCCCACAUUGGAACUGAGACACGGUCCAAACUCCUACGGGAGGCAGCAGUGAGGAAUAUUGGUCAAUGGACGAGAGUCUGAACCAGCCAAGUAGCGUGAAGGAUGACUGCCCUAUGGGUUGUAAACUUCUUUUAUAUGGGAAUAAAGUAUUCCACGUGUGGGAUUUUGUAUGUACCAUAUGAAUAAGGAUCGGCUAACUCCGUGCCAGCAGCCGCGGUAAUACGGAGGAUCCGAGCGUUAUCCGGAUUUAUUGGGUUUAAAGGGAGCGUAGGUGGAUUGUUAAGUCAGUUGUGAAAGUUUGCGGCUCAACCGUAAAAUUGCAGUUGAAACUGGCAGUCUUGAGUACAGUAGAGGUGGGCGGAAUUCGUGGUGUAGCGGUGAAAUGCUUAGAUAUCACGAAGAACUCCGAUUGCGAAGGCAGCUCACUAGACUGCAACUGACACUGAUGCUCGAAAGUGUGGGUAUCAAACAGGAUUAGAUACCCUGGUAGUCCACACAGUAAACGAUGAAUACUCGCUGUUUGCGAUAUACAGUAAGCGGCCAAGCGAAAGCAUUAAGUAUUCCACCUGGGGAGUACGCCGGCAACGGUGAAACUCAAAGGAGUUGACGGGG